GAUGAACGCUGGCGGCGUGCCUAAUACAUGCAAGUCGAGCGAACAGACGAGGAGCUUGCUCCUCUGACGUUAGCGGCGGACGGGUGAGUAACACGUGGAUAACCUACCUAUAAGACUGGGAUAACUUCGGGAAACCGGAGCUAAUACCGGAUAAUAUAUUGAACCGCAUGGUUCAAUAGUGAAAGACGGUUUUGCUGUCACUUAUAGAUGGAUCCGCGCCGCAUUAGCUAGUUGGUACGGUAACGGCUUACCAAGGCAACGAUGCGUAGCCGACCUGAGAGGGUGAUCAGCCACACUGGAACUGAGACACGGUCCAGACUCCUACGGGAGGCAGCAGUAGGGAAUCUUCCGCAAUGGGCGAAAGCCUGACGGAGCAACGCCGCGUGAGUGAUGAAGGUCUUCGGAUCGUAAAACUCUGUUAUUAGGGAAGAACAAAUGUGUAAGUAACUAUGCACGUCUUGACGGUACCUAAUCAGAAAGCCACGGCUAACUACGUG
rnacentral:rRNA from 1 species